UGUUAGCCUGAUGCUGGAUAAUAUAAAUGUGAUAGCCUUGACACCAGAAAAUCAGAAGAAUCUCCAUCUGUGUGAGAAGUAUUAUAGACCUAACGGGCACAUGCCCUAGGUCACAAGAUGACAAGGCUAUCCAAGAAGAUAUGGUCACUGGAAGAGAAUAUCAAGGAAAACAUCUCUAGUGGCUUUCUAUGGCUAACUGCCCCUAAACCCUGAAGUGUUCCAACUAAUAAACAGAUCACCAUGAAGACUCCUGAGAGGUGAGAUUUCCUUCAAUCAUCCUGACCAAGACUCUUCUUUCUGCACCGUUGGUUCUCUGUACUUGAUCUAUCGUAGUAUCAAACAUGUUGUCCUGUUUUAGUAAACUGAGUUUUGAAAUCA